GCACCAGAGAAAAUAUUGCCGAAAACGUCAGAGGAGCAUCUACCCCAAGACGGGACAAGCCGAAAGAAGAAGAAGAGAGGAGGACGCGGCAUGCGGGACGGCGCCUCUUGGAGGCUGGAGGACCAACCGCGGGAUAAAGACCAACUCCAUGAUGAUGAUGAUGAUGAUGAUGAAGACGAAGAAUAAGAUAGAGAUUCCAAAUGUAAGUCUGCAUUGGAUGUCUUCACUUUAGCCAGCACUGCAAAGGCUUGAGAGGUGAAAGGAGGCAAGGAGGCAGGAAAGGAUGCAGGCAGGAUGGCAUGUUGGCAUUCAACAUGUGUAUGUUUUCAAGCAAGGGUUAAGGUUUCAAAGUUGGGGUUUAGAGGCCUCCUGGUUAAGGGUUUCAAACAAGGGAUAUGGUUUCACAUUUCGGGUAAGGGUUUCAUGUCAAGGUUUCAAGGCAAGGUUAAGGGGUCAAAGUGUGUACUGGAAUUCUUCGCUGUUGCCAGCUCCCGCGUGGGCCGCGAAGCGUCAGGAGCGGAGCGAAGGAGCCGAGGAGGCAGGAAAGGAAGGACGCGGCGGCGACUUCGUUUGCAUUCAACACGUGUAGCGAGCCAGGCGUGUAGGGGAGGGGCCGAGGCGAGAGAGAGGGCGGUUGAGAGAGGUUGCUAGGCAACGGGGGUACAUACUGAAUGUUAAGCCAAGAAGUGUCGAGGCGGGCGGGCGGGCGAGAAACAGACGCUGAGGCGGCAGCAGCAACAUGUAGCCACGCCGCCGCAGCCGAGUCGAGUCGAGCCGAGCCGAGCAGACCUCAUUUUGGCUUCUCGGGGUGUGCGGAAAUACGUGUGCGACAUGAACCGUCCGGAUGCCGAGGACGCCGUCCCGCCACGGGGGUGACGAGGAAAAGGAUGUCCGGCGGAGGGAUGACGGAUGGAUGGAGUGAGAGAGCAGCGCCAGGAGGAGGAGAAGAAGAAGAAGAGCCUCACGCACACGGGUGUCCUCACCUCAUCAGGUGAAAGUCGGUGAGCGCCACCCACCCCGAGAACCGGCGCCAGGCCUCACCCGCCAAAGCUGAGCGGCCAGCGCCCACUGGC